UUUUACAUUACUACUAAUACGUUUAUACAACUGCAUUCGAAAUGUGUUAAAGCGUGUCUGGAUAUUUUCUGAGACCUUACUGGUGCGCAGCAUCGGGUUAAGUGCUAAGGUUGCCGGCUUGUGCACGUGUGUUAGCCGUUCAUAUAUCUUCUAUUGCACUUUUUGUUUUGCAUCGUUACCCUCUUAACCUAUUCUCCACUCUCAAUCGAACGGAAUCGAGUUGCAUCGAUACAUAGAGCGUACGAAACGCGCGAGAACGGAAAGCAGAGUCGAUGCCACGGAGGUGCACGAAGGAGGCCGAGCGGGUUCGGAAGCAGCCGAGGCCAUCUGUUACGCUCGGUUCCCACGCUUCCGCCGUCGCCUUUCCCCGCCUUUGGACCAGUCCUCAUCGGUCCUUUUCUUGCCCCCUCUUUCGCCGACACUGCCGGCUCUCGCCGUCGCUUUAUUUUAUAUAGCCGGAGAAUGCUUGGACGUCUUUAACCGCGAGUCCGCGUUUUCUGUUACGAACUUACGAGGCGAUACUUUUGUCCAUUAUCGCGAGAUUUCUGCUCGUCGUAGUUUCCGUUUGGCUCGUUCUCGAGGCGUUAAGUAAAAGUUGUACGACUAGUCUUGUAAGGAUAGGACCGGCCAAAAUCUUUAUCUCUUUCGGUCCCGUUCUGUGUACGUCACAACGAAAACAAAUGUUCCAAGAUGUUCCUUACGUAUUUUACUUUUUUAUGUUCGUUUGAAAUAAAUCGAAUGUUUUGCAGCAAAA